CCAAUUGAUAUUCGAGAGUCCAUGGAUAAUGUUGAGAGCUUUGUGGUAGAAUCUGGAGCAUCGUUCAUCACAACUAUUGAUGACUGAAGAGUCAAAGACUCCAUUGGGAAUCUAUUUGGAAUCUUGAAGAAUGAAGAUUUGUGAAAUUUUAUUCAAGAAUAAUUGUUGCUUACUUGUUUAAGACAAUUUAGUUUUGUUUGUAAUGUGUAUUAGACGUUUAGUGGAGGUUUUUUAUUUUUUUAUUUUUA